GAAAGAUACUCAGGAUUUGGGGAUUUCUUAAAGUGAACUUUAAAUGUCACUUGAAGAAGUAUAUAUGAAGGAAAGGUUGCCCCAGAGCGUUGAAGCAACUGAUGACAUCCAAUAUGAGGAUGGUUUUUAAAAUCCAGAACCAAUCUGGAGGUGCCAGAUAAAAAGAUAACAGAAACCUGUGGGCUUUAUAUCUCUUCAGAGGAAAUAAAACAUUUGUAAGUGACAGGUUUUUCCAAAGGGAUACAGCAUCUACUCACUGUACCACAAAAAUUUCAUUGCUUUAUUUAUAAGAUCAAAGACCUAAUGCCUGUCACUAAAACAGUAGCGUUUUUUCAUUUGUAUUUUCCUUACUACCAAGCAUCAGUAAAGUGUCCAUGGUGUGCAGCAAAUGAAAAGAGGAUAUGGUAUAGUUUCUUCUUAAGGGAAAUUCUCAGUCCAACUUUGAAGAGGAUACACUGAAGGACAUGCACACAUUCAAAGAAGCCAAAUCACUAAGUAUUCCUUACCCAAACCUGGAUUUUUGCACCUUCUGAGCUUUUAGUAGAGGAGCAUUUACUGUUACAGAAAAUAAAUAUGAGAACCCAGGGAACAGACUCUGCCAACCAAAAUAUAAACUGCUUAGAGGCAGUUAGCACUUAACAUAAACAUUUUGACUUGACCUGAUGAUCUGUCUGUACUCUGAAAUCUUCAUACCUUAAACUAUGGCACAAAAUUUCCUUUUCUGGAGGAGGAAGUCAUUUGUGAAGUUGUCAUCUAUAUGUUGAAGAAAAAGCUAAUGAUUGGACUGACAAUAUCCAGUCCAGAUCAGACCUCAAUUCCAGUUGUCCAUAUAAAAAUAGACAUCUUAAAGUCCUCUUCCAAGUUAUUCUGGAUUUGGGGAUAUUUCCUGUAAUAGAAUAUGCUUAGUGAUGAAGCUUCCUGGAUCACUUUAAAACUAGGGGGGAAUUCAAGGCAACCUAUAAUCCUGAAAGGUUAGUUUCUCCUUGCCCUCUGCAGAUUACUGGGAUUGCACCUACCUGAGAUAAAUCUACUCUGAUGUAAUUAUAACAGGGUUCUUACUUGCAUAUAACAGAAGUUAACUCCGGC
rnacentral:lncRNA from 1 species